AAGGCCUUAGCUUAAUUAAAGUGUCUGGGUUGCAUUCAGAAGACGUGGGAUAAAGUCCUGCAGGCCUUA
rnacentral:tRNA from 1 species